rnacentral:rRNA from 1 species
AUACGGAGGAUGCAAGCGUUAUCCGGAUUUAUUGGGUUUAAAGGGUGCGUAGGCGGUCGUGCAAGUCAGCGGUGAAAGCCCGGGGCUCAACCCCGGAAGUGCCGUUGAUACUGCAUGGCUGGAAUGCGGUCGAGGCGGGCGGGACGGGGCGGGUAGCGGUGGAAUGCGUAGAAAUGCCACAGAACGCCGAUAGCGGAGGCAGCUCGCCAGGCCUGGAUGGACGCUCGGGCACGAAAGCGUGGGGAUCGAACAGGAUUAGAUGCCCUGGUAGUCCACGCCGUAAACGAUGGGCGCUCGUCGUCGGCGGCAGACAGUCGGCGGCCAAGCGAAAGCGAUAAGCGCCCCACCUGGGGAGUACGGUCGCAAGGCUGAAACUUAAAGGAAUUGACGGGG